UCUAAUAUGGCAGAUUAGNG
rnacentral:tRNA from 1 species